GGAGUGGAGCCUGCGGCUUAAUUUGACUCAACACGGGAAACCUCACCCGGCCCGGACACGGACAGGAUUGACAGAUUGAUAGCUCUUUCUCGAUUCCGUGGGUGGUGGUGCAUGGCCGUUCUUAGUUGGUGGAGCGAUUUGUCUGGUUAAUUCCGAUAACGAACGAGACUCUGGCAUGCUAACUAGUUACGCGACCCCCGAGCGGUCGGCGUCCCCCAACUUCUUAGAGGGACAAGUGGCGUUCAGCCACCCGAGAUUGAGCAAUAACAGGUCUGUGAUGCCCUUAGAUGUCCGGGGCUGCACGCGCGCUACACUGACUGGCUCAGCGUGUGCCUACCCUACGCCGGCAGGCGCGGGUAACCCGUUGAACCCCAUUCGUGAUGGGGAUCGGGGAUUGCAAUUAUUCCCCAUGAACGAGGAAUUCCCAGUAAGUGCGGGUCAUAAGCUUGCGUUG
rnacentral:ncRNA from 1 species